UACAAAUCUUCUCCCAAACUUUGAAUAUGAUUCAACCUUCACUGUGACUGGAUUAAAAUCCUGGAACUCUCUGUCUCUGGUGAAUAGCAUAGUGUGUGUACCUACAUCAUAUAGACUGCAGUGGCUCGUGAAGACUGAAGUUAGUUUUUGUAAAGAAGUAUUUAAUCCCACAGAAGCAUCGCCGUAGGCUUGGGAUAUCUGUAAAGGUUCUUUAUCAGUGCCAUAACCUCGCAACUGCCUUCGCACUUUUCCGGAUAUUAUUGAAUCUUCCCUUGAAAAGAGAUGAAGACAAUGAAUGUGGAGCAACGUGUAUAGCAGUAAUGAACAUUUCUAUUUUUAUAUCAUAAAAUUUAUAUAAAGCGCUAAUUUCUGAAGCUGAAAAUUUGAGAACUGGUAUAUAGUUUGUUGGAAUAACUGCGACAUUAUUGAAUAUUUACAUUUUGACAUCUUAUUUUGUUGAUAUAUUCAGAGUUUGAUAUAUAUUGUACUGCACAUCUUUGAACAGAACUAUCAGGGUUGUCAAAUUCAAAAACUGUGAUUACAUUUGGAGUUAUAAUCAGUUCAUUCCAGUUAGAACUGAGCAUGAUUGAAUUUGUCGAUUAUGAAAUUAAUUAACAGAAUGGAAUUAAUUAUUCUUUGUUAAUAAUUGACGCCAUGUUAUUAUAAGGUAGCAGGACAGGUCCAGGGGACAAAUAUCCCACAUUCACUCCUUAAGUUGCAGCCCAUAAAAUACACAAUUGACAAUUUACAAUAAAUAUUGCCAUUGGAAUCCCACAAUUUUGUAUGAAAUGACUGUCAGCACUAAGUGGGCUAACAGUGAUGCUAAAUUAUUGAACACUAUGGUAUUGAUUUGCUAAUAGUGCAAUGAGUAAUUUGGUGUUUCCUGUUGAAUUACCUUUGAAUGAUUGUAGUUUCAUUUGCUGCCAUUGCUGGCUACCUGUAUUCACUGGGCUCAAGGUGGAUGAGAGUGUAAUCAGAUUACAGGACAUGGAAUUUUCCAAGUGAACGGACACUGGGAACAGAAGCAGGAGGAUCCCAUAAAUACCCACACUGGGUGGGGUAUCAGUUACAGGACACUUUUCUUGAUGCUGGAUGGUUUGACAGAGAUGGGUUGAAAGCCUGGCAAAAGCUGGCAUUUCCCAGAGGCGAACUCUUCAAGAGUGUUGUUGAAAGUGAAUUUAGGAGGUUGACGGGGAUUCUUGGCUGUGCUGAGGGUAAACAUACUACCUGGAGGCAGCAGGCCAAGACAGUGUCAGGACAAUAGACCACCCCCACUCAUCUGGGUGGACGUAGAGCUGAAAGCACAUCCACUAUGGAGAGGCGACUGCUCUGGGUUCCGGUACAUAAUUCUUUGCAAGUUGUGUCACUGGUAGACAAGCUGAUUACAAAGGUGUUUAGCACACUAGCCUUCAAUGCUCAGAUCAUUGAGUACAGGAGUUGAGAGGUCAUGUUGUGGUUGUAUGGGGUGUUGGUGAGGCCACUUUUGAAGUACUGUGUAUAAUUCUGGUCGACCUGUUAUAUGGACAGCAUUAUUAAACUGGAGAGGGUUCAGAAAAGAUUUCCAAGGAAGUUCCCAGGAUGGGACGGUAUGAGUUAUAAGGAGAGGCUGGAUUAACUAGGACUUUUCUCACUGGAGUUUAGGAGGUUGAGGGGGUGACCUUAUUGAGGUUCAUAAAAUCAUGAGGGACACAGACAAAAUGAAUAGCAAAGGUCUUUUCCUUAGGGUAGGGGAGUUUAAAAUUAGAGGGCAUAUUUCUAAGGUGAGAGAAUAAAAAAUUAAUAGGAACAUGAGGGGUAACGUUUUCACAUAGAGGAUGGUUCUUCUGUGGAAUGAAUUGCCAGAAGAAGUGGUAAAUGCAGGUAC